rnacentral:lncRNA from 1 species
GAAAAUAUAAAAAACAGACUUGAUAUAUAUUUAAAGUCAAAUCUGAAUCAAGACAAACCCAAUUUUACCCGGUCAUAAAUACUCUACUUUUUAUUAGUCCCAAAUUUUAAAUUUGUCUCUACCUUAAAAAAUUAUUGUUUACCUUGUUGAAUACUCAUAAACAUAGUUUGCUGAGUAACUUAAUACAAAACCAAAGUUUAAAUGUGACAAGUGUUACUUUUUUUUUAGUUAAUAGUCAAAUUUGUCCCUAAAAGAUCAUCGAUUCUUCAAAUUAGUCCUCAAAUAAUUU